CCUACGGGGGGCAGCAGUGAGGAAUAUUGGUCAAUGGUCGGAAGACUGAACCAGCCAAGCCGCGUGAGGGACGAAGGUACUAAGUAUCGUAAACCUCUUUUGUCAGGGAACAAAGUCUGGGACGUGUCCCCGCCCGAGGGUACCCGAAGAAAAAGCAUCGGCAAACUCCGUGCCAGCAGCCGCGGUAAUACGGAGGAUGCGAGCGUUUGCCGGAUUUAUUGGGUUUUAAGGGUGCGUAGGCGGGCUGUUAAGUCAGCGGUAAAAGCCCGGGGCUAAACCCCGGCCCGCCGUUGAAACUGGCGGUCUUGAGUGGGCGAGAGGUAUGCGGAAUGCGUGGUGUAGCGGUGAAAUGCAUAGAUAUCGCGCAGAACUCCGAUUGCGAAGGCAGCAUACCGGCGCCGUACUGACGCUGAGGCACGAAAGCGGGGGUAUCGAACAGGAUUAGAUACCCCUGUAGUC
rnacentral:rRNA from 1 species